rnacentral:lncRNA from 1 species
CAGGCGUGAGCCACCGCGCCCGGCCAAUUUCUAAGGCUCCAUUAGGGCUAAGGUUCAUGUAUCCAUGGUGAAGUAUAGAAGAACUCAGAAUCGUUCCAAACAUAAUGGGCUUGGAGUAAUGGAGAACUCCAAGGGCAGGAGGUAACCAUUAAAGAGGACCAUCAUGUAGUGUGAGGAGUCAACAUUUCACACUAGAAAGCCCUUGGUUCAAGUUUUGUCUCUGCCACCUACAGAUUUUGUAACCCUGAGAGAAAAGGAAAAUCCUACGGAGGAGGGGCUCUGAUGGCUUUGAAGAAGGCAGUGAAUGGCCACAUGUUCCCUGAGGACAGCACAGGCUAAAGGCUCAGCUAGAAGAAAGGCACAGAGAUAGCAAGGGAAACUAGCUACCUCUUUAUGUACUGCCCUAUGGAGAGGCACACAUGUCAAGAAACUGAGGGAGUGCCUUCCAGUCAACAGCCAGCCAGGAACUAAGGUGCUCAGUACAGCAGCCUCCACAAAGGACUGAACAAUGCCAACAGCUAUUUGACUGUGCUUGGAAGAUCUCCGUUUAGUUAACCCUUCAGAUGAGACCGCAGCCCUGGCCAGCAAACAAAUUGCAGCCUAUGGAAAGACCUUAAGGCAGAAGCACCCAACUGAACCACCCGAGGGCUCUGACUUACAGAAACUGUGAGCAUAUAGUGAAAUGGCCUCUACCUUAUUUUGAAUGGAUUUCUGGGAUAAAGUUCUUCAGUGAUAACAUGUUUGAAGUUUCAGGAAAGAGGCACUGGCCUUUACUUCUCCACCUCGAUUCACUUCCAUGCUGUUGACAAAUGUUAUAGUUGCCCAGGAUCAGAGGGAGAGACUGACCCUGUGACCAUUUCCCCAAAGGCGGCCUUUGGCCACUCCGUGCACUGGAGCACAUGACCCUCUGCCUCGCCCCUGCCACAUUAACCAGGUUUGGGGAGAAGAAUGGCCUGCUUAGGAGCUCAACAGUGACAGAGAGGUGAGGCCCCAAGGAUGCACUGAAGAACUGAAAGCAAAUUAGCACAUUCCUCUUCCUGCACCAUGAUGACUGAGAGUGGAGGAACGGGCAAGCCCACAUCCAGACUGGGAUUCUACUGUGAUCUUGAGAUGUGACCUUGGACAAGAUUUUUAACCUCUGAGCUUGUUUACCUUGAUUUUGAGAGUUUAAUAACACUUGCCUCUUCAGCCUUUGAAGUUCAGAUUUAGAAAAUGAACAUAAAGCAGUUACUACAGUCUCUGUAGCGUGUGACCAAUACAUGCUAUCACCGUUAUCAUCGGUCAUAGUAAUAUCAAUAUUUAAAAUAUCAUAAUUAUUUGAAAUACUUUAUUUAAAAUAUGCCUCUGUAACAUCACUUCUAAAUGAGAGAUAGCCCCUUUGUAGGAGGCCAUGAUAAGGAUGAGAUGAGAAUUCUUGUAAAGCUUUCAUCACAGGGCCUAGCAAGUAAUUAGCACUUAAUAAAUCAUAGUAACAAUGGUGAUCACCAUCAUUAUUGUUUGUACAAAGUUGAAUGGAAAAGACUAUUUUGUAGCACUUUUCACUGUAUUGUAGCAUGUGAUCAUGAAAAUUUAGACAAAGCAUAAUUUUUCGAGCUAAAAGGAGAUUAAUGAAAUUAUUCAUGGCACAUUCACACCAUUGGACACUGUUCAGCUUUAUAGUCUAUGUGCCCUUCCACCACCUGGAGAUCUUGCUAAAAUUCUCAUUUGGUAAAUCUGGGGUCAGCCCAAGAUUACGCAUUUCCAGUGGAUUCUCAAGUGAUUCCAGGGCUACCUGUCCAUGGACUCCACUUUGAGUAAACAGGAUGUACACUUUUACAAUAAAAAAUGUGUAUAUGCAUUUAUACAGAAAUAUAGAAAAAUAUUCCUAGGCUAUACUCAAGAUGGGGGACAGUGUUUUUCACCCCCUUCGCUAAACUGUACUAUCUUUCCCAGAAAUUUAAUAACAAACAUGUAAAAACAUUUAAAAAUGCAAUAAAUUUUAUUGAUGCAAGUUCUUCCCUUCUCUAAAAGUUUGUCACACAGCCAGGUUUUCCAGCACAUUCUUUGCCAGGUCUGCAUGCCUGAUGCCAUGAUUUUCUUCUAGAGCCACACUAGGCCUUUUCAGCAUCCUAACCACAAGGAAAUCACAUUAAUGCGUGCUCAUUCUGGAGGCUUCAACUCUCCAAGGAGCAGGUGGGCCCCAGCUCAGAUAUAGCUGCUGGCCAGAGUUCAGGACCCAGAGGCGUGCAGGCCAGCCAGGUGCAAGAUAGACAGUUAUUAACUCAGAGAAGCCCAGAGAGUUUCUAAAAUCUGAUUCUGGCUGCACUUGGAAAGGGCGUUCCAGUUAACAUGGCGGGGUGCUUUCUGCAGUUUAAAGGAGCUCAAGGAAGUUCCUUGUACAAAAGAGAUGGCUCCACUAGCCCUUCCUCCAAAGGGUGGCCUCAGAGAGGACCCUUGUGAUCUAAGGGUAGGUGGGUUUAAGGUUUUUCUUCCUUUUAACUCCUCUAAACGGAGACUGGGAUACUUACUUGGGUACUUGAGCCACGUAUUUAUCUUAUUCUCAUCAGACUGUUUCUGUCACUGAGAGGUUGAAAGAGGUCUGAAUGAGCAUCCAGAGACAGAAUUAGAUAGAUAGAACCUCAGUUGAAUUUUGACCUUGCCAUUUAAUAGCUAAACUGCCUUAGGUCUAAGCAGUGACUCUGUUUCCUCCUAUGGAAAAUGGAAGUAGCAAUGCUCUGGUCUCUCCAGGAUUCAAACUUAUGGAGCUAAAGAUUCUAGUUUCCAGUUAGGUAAAAGCAGGCUUGCAAAUGCCAAUACUAAUAAUUAUUAUUUUUAUUCAGUGUUCACCAUCCUUUGCACCUUAACAUACACCUUGUACCUGCCUAGAUAAGCCCCCACGCGCUGCCCACCUGAGAUCCCUGGUAUGGGGUCUCCAUCACCCCAUCCCUCUGUGUAUCAGGCAGUGGGUAGAGGAAAACAGAUACAUACAAAAACUGGGCAGUGGGAGGAGAGUUUACUAAAGGGAUAUUUAACUGAGGUGAGGGCGGGACUUGAGGAAUAAAUAACAUACAGUGGCAUGGAUAGGGGUUGAGGAGGUACAUUCCCCCCCAAGCUUCUGGCUUUCAGUAGAGAGAACAGCCAACUUGUCAAGAAGGGGGAUGCCAAGGAAUAAAUAGCCUGACUCCUGUCUUCCCACACUCCUGUGACCUCCUCAUGCUUUUGCCAAGAUCUUGGCUUGGUUUCUCCUCUGAUUGAUUUCAACCAACUUUCUGAUAUUGGCAGGCGGCUAUCUUAUGUGCCCAUGUUACAUGCUCAUGAUAAAGCUGCAUUUCCUGAGGGGACACCAAUGGAUACACCUCUGCCUGGCACGCAGCUUAGAGGCUAAAUGUAUGAAAAGCAACACCAUGCAAAUCAUUUUGAAACUGCUGUGGAACUCUCACGGGACCCUCCAUUCUAGACAUCCAGUCCCACUAGUGAUCUGACCAUGAAACCUACUAAGAGACUUCCAGAAGAAGAUGACCUCUGAAAGGAGAAAACUUUCUUCCAAGCUUCUGUGGAACAAGAAGAUGCCAUCCCUUUGGUGGAGCCCAAAGGGAAACCAGGACACUGAAGGAAUUAACCAGAAAGAAAAGAAGAGAAGAAGGAGAAGAAAGAAGAAGAAGAAGAAGGAGAAGGAGAAGGAGACGAGG